rnacentral:rRNA from 12 species
CACCAGGUUGAUUCUGCCUGACGUAGAUGCUAGCCUCCGAGGCUAAGCCAUGCAUGCCCGUGACGCAAGGAACGGCGAACGGCCCAGUAAUACUGCGAUGAUCUGCUCCGCGCGGACGAUAACUACGGGAAACUGUGGCUAAGAGCGCGGAUUGAGACGCAGCCCUAUCAGCAAGUUGGUAGUGUAACGGACUACCAAGGCGGCGACGGGUGACGGGAAAUCAGGGUUUGAUUCCGGAGAGGGAGCCUGAGAGAUGGCUCCCACGUCCAAGGACGGCAGCAGGCGCGAAACUUGCCCACUCUCUUGCGAGGAGGCAGUUACGAGGCGUGACGGAAGGGCGCACUGUAAAGACGUGCGCGAACGCGAUUGGAGGGCAAGUUCGGUGCCAGCAGCCGCGGUAAUACCGACUCCAAGAGUGUCUAUGGUGGAUGCUGCAGUUAAAAAGUCCGUAGUCGGCACUGCGACGAAAGCGCGCUGCUCGAUGGCGCAGGCGUUGCAGGGGCUUGCGGAGCGGGCGGGGGGCACGGUAUAGGCAGGCGAGAGAUGAAAUGGCCAAGACCCUGCCUGGACCGACGGUGGCGAAGGCGGUGCCCUCGCACGCAUCUGUGGAUCAAGGACGAAGGCAGGAGGAUCGAAAGUGAUUAGAGACCGCUGUAGUUCCGGCAGUAAACGAUGCCGACACCGCGCGGCGGGGCUGCGCGGGGGGGAAACCUUAGUGUUCGGGCUCUGGGGAUAGUAUGCUCGCAAGUGUGAAAAUUAAACGAAAUUGACGGAGCUACACCACAAGGAGUGGAUUGUGCGGCUUAAUUUGACUCAACGCGGGGCACCUUACCAGGGCCACGCGCGCCUGAGACCGCAUGCGCGAGGCGCGCAGGAGUGGUGCAUGGUCGUUGCAAAUUGGUGGGGCGACUUUUGGCUUAAAUGGCCGGAACGAGUGAGAUCUCCGAGACGGGUGCGCGCAGCACAGGAGGGUGGAGGCGAUAACAGAUCAGUGAUGCCCUUAGAUGCCCUGGGCUGCACGCGCAAUACAAUACCCGCGCGCUGCACAGAACGGUCGCGGGGGUGUGGGACCGGCGCCUGUAAGGGCGCCGCGAACGAGGAAUUCCUAGUAACGGCGGCUCAUCAAGGCAUUGUGAAUGUGUCCCUGUAGCUUGUACACACCGCCCGUCACUAUCUCAGAUGGCCGUGUCGGUGAAGGGAGCAAUCUCUGUGCCUCCGCGGCUAGAUAAGAUGUAAGUCGUAACAAGGUUGCGGUCGGUGAACCAGCAGCAGGAUCAUAA